rnacentral:rRNA from 1 species
CGAACGCUGGCGGCGUGCUUAACACAUGCAAGUCGUACGAGAAAGCUCCUUCGGGAGUGAGUAAAGUGGCGCACGGGUGAGUAACACGUGGAUCAUCUGCCCUUGAGCGGGGGAUAACAUCUCGAAAGGGGUGCUAAUACCGCAUACGCCGGGGAGGACCCAGGUCUUCCUCGGGAAAGUUGGCCUCUGCUUGCAAGCUAGCGCUCAAGGAGGAGUCCGCGUCCCAUUAGGUUGUUGGUGGGGUAAUGGCCUACCAAGCCCGCGAUGGGUAGCCGGCCUGAGAGGGUGGCCGGCCACACUGGCACUGAGACACGGGCCAGACUCCUACGGGAGGCAGCAGUGAGGAAUUUUGGGCAAUGGGCGCAAGCCUGACCCAGCGACGCCGCGUGGGUGAUGAAGGCCUUCGGGUCGUAAAACCCUGUGAGUUGGGAGGAAGCCUGUCUGGGUUAAUACCCCUGGCAGGUGACAGUACCAGCAGAGGAAGCCCCGGCUAACUAC